rnacentral:tmRNA from 1 species
CUUGCAAUUUCCAGCACAAAGAUUUAUAAUGCAAUCGCCGCUUUGCGGUGAUGAUUCUGAACAUUAUGCGGAAUAGUCGUUUUGGACUGGGGGGCGGUACCCCACAGCUCCACCAUUAUUAUAUUUUUAUUUUAUGGGGCUGACAUAGUUUCGACAGACGCAAUAAAGGCAUUAAUUUGAAUCCGACAUGGUUGUCGUUAAACACUAAAACAAAAACUGAAUGGCGAUAAUUUCGCUGCGAACGACAAUGUUCGCCUUGCAAUGGCUGCUUAAUAUAGCGUUGAUAUAAUUGGCGAUUGUUGAUUAUAUCGUUUUAGUUAUUGCGGGGUUCGCCGGGUACCUGGCACCAGAAACC